AUUGAACGCUGGCGGCAGGCCUAACACAUGCAAGUCGAACGAGUGGCGGACGGGUGAGUAAUGUCUGGGAAACUGCCUGAUGGAGGGGGCUAACUACUGGAAACGGUAGCUAAUACCGCAUACCAUCGGAUGUGCCCUGACGGGAUUAGCUAGCAGGUGGGGUAAUGGCGCACCAAGGCGACGAUCCCUAGCUGGUCCGAGAGGAGGACCAGCCACACUGGAACUGAGACACGGUCCAGACUCCUACGGGAGGCAGCAGUGGGGAAUAUUGGACAAUGGGCGAAAGCCUGAUCCAGCCAUGCCGCGUGUGUGAAGAAGGUCUUCGGAUUGUAAAGCACUUUAGGUAGGGAAGCGUUACCAACAGAAUAAGCACCGGCUAACUACGUGCCAGCAGCCGCGGUAAUUC
rnacentral:rRNA from 1 species